UUAAAAUAUGUUAAUGGUACACAGUAUGAAUAGAUGUAAAUUGUGACAUUGAUAACAUAAAGUGUGUGUGUCCGGGAUAAAAGUAUAACCUUUGUAUGCAAUUUAGCUUAAAUUGUUAUCAGCUUACAGUAAACAUAACUAUUGGUAUUUAAUGUAGGUCCCAUGGUAACCACAAAAAAUACUUGUAGAAAUUACACAAAAGAAAAAAAGAAGAAAAUGAAAGCACAGCAAUACAAAAAAAAUUAACGAAAUUCAAAGGAAAACAGCAAGAGGGGAAAAGAUGGGAAAAGAACUACAAGAGAAACAAAACAAUUAACAAAAUGGUAAUAGUAAAUCCAUCCCUAUUAAUAAUUACUUUAGAUACGGAUGGAUUAAACGCCUCAAUCAAAAGACAUAGAGUAACUGGAUGGAUUCUUAAAAUCCAACUGUAUGAUGUCUACAAGAAACUUGCUUUCGGUUGAAGGACACACAUAAGCUGAAUUAGAAGGGCUAGAAAAGGCUAUUACAUGGGAAUAGUAACAAAAGGAAUGCAGAGGUGGCUAUACAUAUACCAGGAAAAAUAGAUUUAAGUAAAAUAUUUUGUCACAAGAGAUAAAGAAAAACAAUAUAUCUCUAUCUAUCUAUAAUAGAAGAGUUAAUUCACCAAGAAGAUAUAACAAUUCUAAAUAUAUGCACCCAAGAGCAGAACACCUAAGUCUAUAAAGCAAAAAUUGAUAGAACUGACAGAGAACUAUAAAGCAAUACAAUAAUGGUAGGAGAUUUCACAGCCCCACUUUCAAUAAUGGAUUAAACAACCAGACAGAAAAUUGAAAAGAAGCAGUAGACUUAAACAAUGUGAAGUACCAAAUGGACCUAACAGACCUAUACAGAAAGUUUCACUCAACAGUAGUAGAAUAUACAUUCCUCGUAAGUGCACACAGAACACUCUUCAGUAUGGAUCACAUGUUAGUUCAUAAAACAACACUUUAUAAAUUUAAGAAGAUUUAAAUCAUACCAUGUAUUUUUUUCUGACCACAAUGGAAUGAAAUUAGAAAUCAAUAGUGGGGGAAAACUUAAACAUUUCCAAAUAUGUGGAAAAUAAACAAUGCACUUUUGAACAACCAAUAACUCAAAAACCAAAUCAAAGGAAAAUCAGAAAAUAUCUUGAUACAAACAAAAAUGGAAACACCAGACACCAAAACUUAUGAGAUGCAGGAAAAUAAAUAAGGACUGAGAAGGAAGUUUAAUGUGAAAAAUGUGUACAUUAAAAAAAGAAAGCUCUCAAAUAAAUAACCUAACUUUACACUGCAAGGAACUAGAAAAAGAAUAAACCAAAGAUGAAAUUAGCAGAAGGAAGGAAGUAAUGAAAUAUACAGCAGAAUUAAACAACAUAGAGAAUAGAAAAACAAUAAAAAGUCAAUAAAAUUAAGGGUUGGUUUUUUGAAAAGACCAACAAAAAUUAUAAAUCUUUAGUUAGACUAACCAAGGAAAAAAGAGAGAAAAACUCAAAUAAAUAAAACAAAAAUGUAAACAAAGACAUUAAAACUGAUGCCAUGGAAAUGAAAAGGGUCACAAGAGAUUACUGUAAGUAAUUGUCCACUAACAAACUGGAUAAUCUAGAAAAAAUGGAUAAAUUCCUAGAAACAUACAACCACCAAGACUAAAUCAUAAAUAAAUAGAAAGUCUGAGCAGACCUAUAACUGACAUGGAGAUUGAUUCAGUAAUCCAAAAUCUCCACAAAAGCCUAGGACCAGAUAGCUUUAAAGAAUUAGUAUUGAUAAUUCUCAAACACUUUCAAAAAACUGAAGAGGAGAAAGAAACUUCCAAACUCUUUUAUGAGGCCAGCAUUAUCCUAAUAUCCAAGCCAGACCAAGAUGUUACAAGAAAAAAAUUAGAGACCAAUAUCCCUGAUAAACAGAUGCAAAAAAAAAAAAACUAAAAAAAAAAUACUAGCAAGCUGAAUCCAACAGUGCGUUAAAAGGACCAUACACCAUGAACAAGUUGGAGUAUUCCUGGGUCACAACAUCCAAACAUCAAUUAAUGUGACAUAUCCCAUUAACAGAAUAAAGAAUACAAAUCACAUGAUUGUUGAAUAGAUGCCAAAAAAAAGUUUCACAAAGUUCAACACCCUUUCAUGAUAACUGAUGAAGAGAAAUUGUCUCUGCAGAUGAUGUGACUUUAUACAUAGGAAACCCUAAAGACUCCACAAAAAUCUGUUAACAAAUGAAUUCAGUAAAGUGACAGGAUACAAAAUCAAUAAAAAAAAAAAAUCAUUGGGAUUUCUAUACACUAAGAAUGAAAUACUGAAAAGAAAUUUAGAAAAACAAUCCAAUUUACAAUAGCACAAAAAAGAAUAAAAUACUUGGGAUUAAACUUAACUAAGGAGAUGAAAGACACAUAGUAAAAACUACAAAACACUGAGGAAAAAAUCAAAUAAGUCACAAACAUGUGGAAAGAUAUUCUGUGUUCAUAGAUUUAAAGACUUAAUAUUAUUAAAAUGUUCAUGCAACACAUAGUAAUCUACAGAUUCAAAAUACUAUCCCUAUCAAAAUCCCAAUAGCAUUUUUUAUAGAAAUAGAAAAACAAUUCUAAAAUUAAUGUGAAACCACAAAUGACCCCAAAUAGUCAAAUCAGUCUUGAGAAAGAAGAACAAAACUGGCAGUACCACACCUCCUGAUAUUAAAAUAUAUCACAAAGCUACAAUAAUUAAAAAUGUAUGGUACUGGCAUAAAGCUAGGCAUAUGGAACAAUGGAACAGAAAAGAGCCCAGAAAUAAAUUCAUGCACAUAUUGUGAACUGGUCAAGAGUGCCAAGUAUACACAAUGGGGAAAAGAUAGUUUCUUCAACAAAUGGUGCAGGGAAAACUGAUCAUCCACAUGCAAAAGAACAAAAUUAGAGCUUUGCCUUAUACCAUACACAAAAAUCAAUUUGAAAUGGAUUAAAGGCUCAGAUAAACAAACUAAAACCUCAAAACUUCCAGAAGAAACGAUGGGGCAAAGUUACACGACAGUAGUCUUGGCAAUCAUUUCAUGGAUAUGACACCAAAAGCACAGGCAACAAAAGCAAAAUCAGACAAGUGGAACUACAUCACACUAAAAAGCUGUACAGAAAAAAGAAAUUUGUAAAAAAAAAAAAACCUAUGGAAUUGGAUAAUUUGCAAAGCACAUAUCAAUUAAGGGACUAAUUUGUAAAAUAUAUUUAAAAACUCCUAAAAUUCAUUAGCAAAAAUACCCUUAAAAUCCAUUUUUAAAAUGGCUAAAGACUUGAACAGAUCUUUCCUCAAAGAAGACAUACAAAUGGCCAACAAGUAUAUAAAUAGAUGCUUAAUGUC
rnacentral:lncRNA from 1 species